rnacentral:rRNA from 1 species
UACGAAGGGUGCGAGCGUUAAUCGGAAUUACUGGGCGUAAAGCGUGCGCAGGCGGUUCGUUGUGUCGGUGGUGAAAUCCCCGGGCUUAACCUGGGAAUGGCCAUGGAAACUGGCGAACUGGAGUGUGGCAGAGGGGGGUGGAAUUCCGCGUGUAGCAGUGAAAUGCGUAGAGAUGCGGAGGAACACCGAUGGCGAAGGCAGCCCCCUGGGCCAACACUGACGCUCAGGCACGAAAGCGUGGGGAGCAAACAGG